GAGUUUGAUCCUGGCUCAGGAUGAACGCUGGCGGCGUGCUUAACACAUGCAAGUCGAACGGGAAUGCCACGCUGAUGCGAUUUCGGUCAAAUCAUGUGGCAUUCGAGUGGCGGACGGGUGAGUAACGCGUGGGUAACCUGCCUUACACAGGGGGAUAACACCUGGAAACAGGUGCUAAUACCGCAUAAGCGCACAGGGCCGCAUGGCCCGGUGUGAAAAACUCCGGUGGUGUAAGAUGGACCCGCGUCUGAUUAGCUUGUUGGCGGGGUAGGGGCCCACCAAGGCGACGAUCAGUAGCCGGCCUGAGAGGGUGGACGGCCACAUUGGGACUGAGACACGGCCCAAACUCCUACGGGAGGCAGCAGUGGGGGAUAUUGGACAAUGGGGGAAACCCUGAUCCAGCGACGCCGCGUGAGUGAAGAAGUAUUUCGGUAUGUAAAGCUCUGUCAGCAGGGAAGAAAGAAAUGACGGUACCUGACCAAGAAGCCCCG
rnacentral:rRNA from 1 species